GCCAUGUCCUCAACAUCCUUUCUCUUUCUGCCAUCAACGCUUCAUGCAGCGUUGCUACAUAACAUAAAACAAGAAGUACAACUGCAGAGUCUUCACAAGCCUCACCAGACACAUCAGAGAUGCUUGGACAAAGUUUCCUUGAAGAAGAGAAAAUAAAAGAAAAAGAAAGAAAAAGAAAAAGCACGAAAUCGAAUUAGGAUCAAAAGACUUGCAGCUACAACGCCAGUGAAAUUAGUAAGUUCAAUCAAUUAAGUACUUGCAACUCAUUUGGAUUUCAGAUCUGGUCUUGCAUCUUGAAACCAGAAAAGAAUUCAUAAAAGGCAGUUUAUGUAAAAAUGUGACCCUAAAAAUACACUUCCUCAUAAGCAGGAACCAAUAACAUGCUCCUGUACUUGACUUCAAAAUAUAGUGCAAUUUCAAAGAUUAUCAGCUCCAAAUGAUCCAAUAUCUUGCACCUAUAAGCACAGUUCUUGAGCUGGGAACCUAGAAUGUAGACUAUCAAAAUUAAAGUUCACUUCAGGAAAAGUUUUGGCUGUUUACUCCUAAAAGUGAUGCUCCUAAUCAGGAUCAUUGCAUUAAAUGAUUAUUGGCUCCCAUUACUUCAGUGACAGAGAAAAUUUUCUUGUGCUUUUUCCCAACCAUAAACUUCUCUGAACCAAAUUUCCAUGGCCAGCAGGAGGUAUUGACAUUUCACUAAAAAAAAUUAAUGCAAUGACUUUUGCUAUGACAAGACUUCGUCUGUUAAAUAAAUGCAUCCUGACAAAUGUCA
rnacentral:lncRNA from 1 species